rfam:Erythrobacter sp. SD-21 1101482001796, whole genome shotgun sequence.
CAUGCGGACCGGGCCCCUCUGGCGUGCGCUUUUCCAGCCCACGUGAUGUCGGACCGCAUCG